UCCACCUCCCAGGGCCCCCUCGCCAGCCUCCUCACGGCCGAGGCCCAAGAUGGUGCCUCCGCCCGUCCUGAAGCCUUGACCACCUGCAACCCCUCCAGAGACUGCUCCAGCAGGAGAAAGCCACGGCACACAGUCUGCCAAGGAAAAGAGGAUUAAGAACAAAAAUUUGAGAUUACGUUGUCUUCAUUCAACACAUUGGAGCACUGCCAUUUGAUGCCUAGACCUACAGGUAACACAAGAGAACAAUGAAUUAUCACAGAAAUCCAAAGAGCUCAGACUGAAGAGCAGUCCCUGGGAAAAGCCAAGAAGUUUGGACAGGAAAAAGAACCAUGAAAGGACUUUCAUAAUUGAG